rnacentral:lncRNA from 10 species
UUAGGUAUCUGUGGGGAAAACUAAUUACAAUUUGCCUGAAGUGUUUUUAAAUAUUUUAGAUCUUAAAAGUCGAGCUUGAAAAAUCUAUCAUAUAGGUAGACUUCACUGUUGGAUAGUUACAAUUGUGCAUUUAGAAAAGGUCAGGGAACCAUAAGUACCCCAGCAAAUACGUAACUUCGUUUUCCUGAAAUUCCGUAAUGUCUCGCAGAUUUCUUACAAUGUAGUUCUUAACCCAAGGGUAAACAAGAUUGAUUUCCACAAGUGUCUAUAACGUAUAGGUGGAGAGAAUCAUACAUCAUAUAGGAAUCCCGGAAACUUGCUCAACCCCCUUACUAAAGGGAGACUUGAUGACCAUGGUCUCUCAGAAGAAAUGCAUUAAAUGAAUACAGUCAUUAACUAAAUCCUAUAAGUUGUCCAACAGCUACAUAUGUGCAGUUGGAGAUUUCUGUGGCUUUACUGACAGCAAAGUAAAUCAGUAACAUAAAUGCUCAUGUCAGCCUUUUGGGAGAGUGACCAAACUACAUUAUUAGUAAGUAUAGGAGUCAGGAGAUCUGACUUGUAGCUCCAGUUCUGCCACUAGCUAUGUGGGUCUUUGGGCAGGUCACUUCACUGCUCUGGGCUUCAGGAAUCCAAUAUGUAAAACAGAUCAGACUAGUUAUUUAUAAGGUCCCUU